UGGGGAAUAUUGGACAAUGGGGGGAGCCCUGAUCCAGCGAUGCCGCGUGAGUGAAGAAGGCCUUCGGGUCGUAAAGCUCUUUAGGCUGGGAAGAAGCUUAUGAGAGGAAAUGCUUGUAAGUUGACGGUACCGGCAGAAUAAGCACCGGCAAACUCUGUGCCAGCAGCCGCGGUAAUACAGAGGGUGCGAGCGUUAAUCGGAAUUACUGGGCGUAAAGGGCGCGUAGGCGGUGAGAUGGGUGUGGCGUGAAAGCCCCGGGCUCAACCUGGGAAGGGCGCCGCAAACUAUCUGGCUAGAGUAUAUGAGAGGGCGGCGGAAUUUCCGGUGUAGCGGUGAAAUGCGUAGAGAUCGGAAGGAACGUCGAUGGCGAAGGCAGCCGCCUGGCAUAAUACUGACGCUGAGGCGCGAAAGCGUGGGGAGCGAACAGGAUUAGAUACCCCCGUAGUCC
rnacentral:rRNA from 1 species